AUACUUACCUGGUAGGGGAGAUACCAUGAUCACGAAGGUGGUUUCCCAGGGCGAGGCUUAUCCAUUGCACUCCAGAUGUGCUGACGACUGCAAUUUCCCCAAAUGUGGGAAACUCGACUGCAUAAUUCAUGGUAGUGGGGGACUGCGUUCAUACUCUCCCCUG
ensembl:snRNA U1 U1 spliceosomal RNA